AUUGAACGCUGGCGGCAUGCCUUACGCAUGCAAGUCGAACGGCAGCGCGGGGGCAACCUGGCGGCGAGUGGCGAACGGGUGAGUAACAUAUCGGAACAUACCCUAGAGUGGGGGAUAACGUAGCGAAAGUUACGCUAAUACCGCAUACGCACUAAGGUGGAAAGUGGGGGAUCUUCGGACCUCAUGCUCAUGGAGUGGCCGAUAUCUGAUUAGCUAGUUGGUGAGGUAAAGGCGUUCACCCAAAGGCGACGAUCAGUAGCUGGUUUGAGAGAACGACCAGCCACACUGGAACUGAGACACGGUCCAGACUCCUACGGA
rnacentral:rRNA from 1 species